UACGUAGGGGGCUAGCGUUGCUCGGAAUCACUGGGCGUAAAGCGCACGUAGGCGGAUUGCUAAGUCAGGGGUGAAAUCCUGGAGCUCAACUCCAGAACUGCCUUUGAUACUGGCGAUCUCGAGUCCGGGAGAGGUGAGUGGAACUGCGAGUGUAGAGGUGAAAUUCGUAGAUAUUCGCAAGAACACCAGUGGCGAAGGCGGCUCACUGGCCCGGUACUGACGCUGAGGUGCGAAAGCGUGGGGAGCAAACAGG
rnacentral:rRNA from 1 species